rnacentral:tRNA from 1 species
GCGGGACUGGCGAAAUUGGUAGACGCACCAGAUUUAGGUUCUGGCGCCGAGAGGUGUGAGAGUUCGAGUCUCUCCGUCCGCACCA